GAGGAUGUUAGUGUGUUAGCUGCUGAUGAGACCUUGUAAAGGAGAUGUGUGUGUCUCCUUUUAAAUCAGGUAUUUAGGGCUGCUGGCACCCUAUUCCCUUCAUAGUGCACUACUUUUGACCAGAGCUCUAUGGGGCUCUGGUCAAAAGUAGUGCACUAUGUAGGGAAUAGGGUGCCAUUUGAUGCUGUCUAAAGCAUCUACUGCACUAAUUACUCCUUGUCUUAUUUAACUCCAGAUGUAUUUUAUAUUAUAAGAUUAAAAUAAAACAUUCACAUUUUUAGGAUGAAUUGAUUGUUUAUACAUUCCGACUAAUGUGUAUUGAGAUUAUGUCAAUGCAUUUAUUUUCAUUGAAAACAUUCAGUAUUUAUUCUUAGUUUAGUACUCUAGGUCAUUUUUUUACUCUGGUAAUGUGCCAUUUUCCCCCCUAAAAACCUGCUAACCCCAAACCUACAGUACAGUAUCUAACUGCCAGAUAAGUACUAGAGUAUAGAAGUACUGUAUUCAGUACAGUAUCUAACUGCCAGAGAAGUACUAGAGUAUAGAGGUACUGUAUUCAGUACAGUAUCUAACUGCCAGAGAAGUACUAGAGUAUAGAGGUACUGUAUUCAGUACAGUAUCUAACUGCCAGAGAAGUACUAGAGUAUAGAAGUACUGUAUUUAGUACAGUAUCUAACUACCAGAGAAGUACUAGAGUAUAGAGGUACUGUAUUUAUUUAACCUUUUUAUUUAGCAUUACAUUUGAAAGAUUCUCCUAACUUUCCCCAUUUUCCCAGGUUUUCCUUCUGAAAUCCUGGUUAUAAUAUUCCCUGAAUCUGGAGGGAAGAAGCAGGAAAUCAGGGAAUCCUCCAUCUGGGAAUUCUGGAAUACAAAAAGGGAUUUCUCAACUUUAUUGAGAGCCUUUAUUUUUUAACAAUAACAACCUGGUAUUAUCCUGGUUUAUCUUCUCAGAACGUAUUUUUUAAAAAAUCUUUAAUUUCAUAGACUGAUUUUUUUGCUGUUGUGCCAUAAUGGAAGAAAUAAGAAAACAAUUGAUUCUAAAUCAGGACCGUAGUUUGUCAUAUUGUCAUGUUUGAUUGCAUUUGAUUUGUGUUGAGUGUUGACUACUACUGAAGUUGUUGAAUGUACAACUCUGGGGAUGUGUCUCAAAUGGAACGCUAUAGACUAAGUAGUGCACUACUUUUUGACUAGGGCUAUGUGGUCCGUAUCCCCAAUGUUCCUUUCAUAAUAAUAAAGGCCCAGUUGGUUUGAAAAGGA